CCCAGUGUUCAGACUACCUGUUCAGGGCUCUCGAUGUGUACAGUAGUCUGCACAUUGGUUA
rnacentral:pre_miRNA from 1 species